ensembl:lncRNA
UAAACACCGCGGUGCGUGCACGCCCAGCUUGGCUCUCUGCGCGUUUCUCGCGCCCGGGUGUGAGUCUCCUACUGUGCGCCGUAUUCCUAAAGCCGGGGAUCACGUCACGUGUCACGGCUCCCGGGUCCUGGGCCAAGUUUUUUUAAAAAUUCCGUGUCAGACCAUCCACGGAGGUUCAGCGCAGAAACCUACACGCCCCGACCCUCCUGCGCGCAUCUCCGCUCCACGCUGCGUAACGAACACCUCAGAGAGGAGCGGAUGGAUGGAUGCAUGGAUGUGGAUAGAUGUUCCCGUUUAACUGAACGCGCCAAAUCAAGACGACUUUAAGUGACUUAUUUGAUUACUUCCAGCGAUUUCCAACGACCCUCGGAUUACCUCUGAUCUUUGGCAAGCCAAAGAAGGAUAAUUUUUUGUUUUGUUUUGUUUGUUUGUUUUAAAACGAGAGAGAAGAGAGGAAAGAAGGAAAGGGAAGCUCCGGGUCGCUGAGAAAGGCUGGGUGCGCUAGAAAGACGGAAAGUCACGGAUCAUGCUUAUGGGAACUUCCGAUUCCGUCUCAAUAAGAGUGGCUCUGCCUGAUGCUCUAUCAUGACUGAUGGCGAAGGGAGAGCGCGCUUUCAGUACGCAGAGUGCCAGGAGCUGGAGGAGGUGCGGGAGGAGGUAAGGCUUGCUGUACCGACAUCCUACAGGAAUGACGCCCAAGGUCAUGAAGAUGACCCAGGAGGAAGACGCCCGGAUGAUGAGGAGGAAGAGGAGGAGGUGGAGAGGACGAGAAGGAGCAGCAGGAGGAGGAGGAGGAGGACGAGCAGCAGCAGUAGCGUUCAAGGAGAUGGAGGAAAUGAAUGGAGUCCUGAAGUUCAGGGGGAUGAAGAACAGGAACCGGAGCUGGAAGUGGAAGUUGGACCAACACUGGGAGUUCGCAUCACGGCUCCCAUCCGUGAUCCAGACUGCGUCUCCGAGGAUGAGGAACAGCAGCCGUAUCCGGCCCUGGCCCCCAUGGCCUUCUUCUGCUUAAAGCAAACAACGAGGCCUCGCAACUGGUGUCUCCGCAUGGUCUGUAACCCAUAUC